rfam:Erwinia tracheiphila strain BuffGH Etrach_6, whole genome shotgun sequence.
UUAGGUAUAGACAGUUCCCCUCUGGUCAGAGCACCAACUCCGUACCGGAAAGCAAUAAGCCCGAUCUCACCAGUCGGGCUUUUUUGC